CGUGGAAAAUUCUAUACCUCCAAUUUUACACCAUAGUAGGGCAGGGAAGAAUGAGGCCACGGGUCUCUCAUCUGUGUCCAUGGCCCUGUCAGAUGGGCGUGUGUGGUGUGUUUACAGGAGCCAGUGAAUGGGAAGUAGAUUUGUAUGAAGGCACCGUUCUCAGCUUUGGGGCUUUAAGGAGGAAUCGGGAUGUCUCUGCCAGGAACAUGUUGGCCUCAGGAAGCCGAGCUGGUCUGAAGUCUUGCCAUGGCCUGGACCCCUCUCCUGCUUGUGGUGCUCGCAUACUGCUCAGGUUCUAUUGCUGAGAGCAUGACAACUCAGCCGCCUUCGGUGUCCGUCUGUCCCGGACAAACUGCUACACUCACCUGCACAGCAAAUACCAUUAGUGGUUUCGGAGCAAGUUGGUACCAACAGAAACCUGGGAGUGCCCCCCUGAUCAUUAUGGGCAAUGAUAAUAAGAGACCUUCCGGUAUCUUGAACCGGUUCUCUGGUUCCAAGUCUGAGAACACGGCCACAUUGACCAUCACUGGAGUCCAAGCCGAGGACGAAGCUGAUUACUACUGCUUUGCUCUUGUUGGUGGCACUACUACUCCACACAAUGACAGUGCAAUGGGGAAGUGA